GACGAACGCUGGCGGCGUGCUUAACACAUGCAAGUCGAACGGAAAGGCCCUGCUUGCAGGGUGCUCGAGUGGCGAACGGGUGAGUAACACGUGGGUGAUCUGCCCCUUACUUUGGGAUAAGCCUGGGAAACUGGGUCUAAUACUGGAUAGGACCAUGCUGUAGGUGGUGUGGUGGAAAGAUUAGUUUCGGUAAGGGAUGAGCUCGCGGCCUAUCAGCUUGUUGGUGGGGUAAUGGCCAACCAAGGCGUCGACGGGUAGCCGGCCUGAGAGGGUGGACGGCCACAUUGGGACUGAGAUACGGCCCAGACUCCUACGGGAGGCAGCAGUGGGGAAUAUUGCACAAUGGGCGCAAGCCUGAUGCAGCGACGCCGCGUGGGGGAUGACGGCCUUCGGGUUGUAAACUCCUUUCAGCCAUGACGAAGCCCUUGUGGUGACGGUAGUGGUAGAAGAGGCACCGGCUAACUACGUG
rnacentral:rRNA from 1 species